rnacentral:lncRNA from 1 species
GAGAUCUGGGCCUGGCUCGUCUUCCCUGGGAAUGGACUGCCCACAACACCUCUAAUUGAUCAUUAAUGGAAAUGCUGAUGGGGUGAUUUUCUCAGCCCAUCUCCCCGAGAUGCUCUGGGGACAUUGCGAGUGUCACGGGUUCCCCAUGUAAUGGGAACAAAGCUAGAAACGGGCCAUUCAGACUUUGGCUGGCCACCGCCUCAUUGUUCGUGCUUCAGCUCCCAACUUCCUUUGGUUCUAAAUGAGCAGGAGUCGCUGUAGUCUGUUUACCCCAUCAGAGUUCAAACGGCCCGUGUGAGUCAUAUUCCGGCCGAUUCCUUCUGGCUGCAUUUACCAAAUAUUCAAUGUUUCAGUCCCAGAGGCCAAGACAUUUCCAUCUGUUCAGAACAUACAAUUAAGAAUACGUCCAAACCGACAGGAAGCUAUGAUUCAGCAGAAUCCCCAAGAGUUACUCACCAGCAUCCAGUCAAUCUGGUCGUGACGCUUCUGGCUGAACAUUCCUUUCUUAAUUCACUCGCUAAAUCCUCGCCAAGCUGCUGCGUGCCAGGCACCGCAUGGAGUGGCUCCUGCAGCCUCCAUCCCGGGAGCUCCGCGUGGAGAGAGGGAAGAGGCCGAUGGCCAUCAGGUAAUCGAAGCCGUGCUGGGGGCUGGGGCCAGGACUAGGGAGAGUGGGAGCGCCAGGAGCCAUUCACCGCUCAGCGCAUUCCAGCCUCCAGGCCAAUACCCAGCGAGGUUCUUCUGACAACAGCAGAAGCCCCAGGAGGGUCCUGGAGACCCCACCUGAUGGCGAGGCUGAAGGUGCUCACACCCAGGCAGCCAUCACUCUUGCUCCGGAGACCUCUCGGUGGUGACUCAGGUGGGCAGACACAUUGGCUGGUUUGGAGGACGACGUCAGCACCGUGUUUAGACACAUGCCCCGCACAGGCUCCGAGGCCGGGACCAUCUGACAACCUGGGAGUUCCUCGCACUGGGGCCAUGGGGCAUUGGUGGCUGUUGCUUGUUCUCGGAAGAAGUGACCAGUGGAUGGGGGAUGGAAUCAAAAGGCUCAGACCCCCUGCUCCGAUGCGGCUACUCAGAAGGGCCGCCCCACCCCCACAGAGCCCCCGGGGUGCAGUCUUGUAG